CCUACGGGAGGCAGUAGUAGGGAAUAUUGCGCAAUGGGCGAAAGCCUGACGCAGCGACGCCGCGUGAGGGAUGAAGGUCUUCGGAUCGUAAACCUCUGUCAGCAGGGAAGAACGGUCACUGUGCUAAUCAGCAGUGAAUUGACGGUACCUGCAAAGGAAGCACCGGCUAACUCCGUGCCAGCAGCCGCGGAAAUACGGAGGGUGCGAGCGUUAAUCGGAAUUACUGGGCGUAAGGCGCUCGUAGGCGGUAUGUCAAGUCAAGGGUGAAAUCCGCGGGCUUAACGUGGGAACUGCCUUUGAAGCUGUAAAACUGGUGGGUGUGAGGUGAGAGUGGAA
rnacentral:rRNA from 1 species